rnacentral:rRNA from 1 species
UACGGGGGGGCAAGCGUUGUUCGGAAUUACUGGGCGUAAAGGGCUCGUAGGCGGCCAACUAAGUCAGACGUGAAAUCCCUCGGCUUAACCGGGGAACUGCGUCUGAUACUGGAUGGCUUGAGAUUGGGAGAGGGAUGCGGAAUUCCAGGUGUAGCGGUGAAAUGCGUAGAUAUCAGGAGGAACACCGGUGGCGAAGGCGGGUCUCUGGGCCGAUACUGACGCUGAGGAGCGAAAGCGUGGGGAGCAAACAGG